UACGUAGGGUCCGAGCGUUGUCCGGAAUUACUGGGCGUAAAGGGUGCGUAGGUGGUUUCUUAAGUCAGAGGUGAAAGGCUACGGCUCAACCGUAGUAAGCCUUUUGAAAACUGGGGAACUUGAGUGCAGGAGAGGAGAGUGGAAUUCCUAGUGUAGCGGUGAAAUGCGUAGAUAUUAGGAGGAACACCAGUUGCGAAGGCGGCUCUCUGGACUGUAACUGACACUGAGGCACGAAAGCGUGGGGAGCAAACAGG
rnacentral:rRNA from 1 species